UGAAUUUGGCGGUAUUUUAGUCUUUUUAUAGGAACCUGUCCUGUUAUUGAUAUUCCACGAUUAAUUGUACUUAUUUUAUUAGUUUAUAUAUCGUCGUAGGUUGAAUGUUUUAUAAGAAUUUUGAAUGUUCAUAAUUUGGUUUAACAAAAGAUAUCAGAUCAAGGUGUAGCUUAUAAGUAAGAAGAGAUGGGUUACAAUAAAUUUAUUUGUAUGGUUAAAAUAAUUAACAUUAUUUUAUAAAUUGGAUUUGAUUGUAAUAUGGUUUAGUUAAAUUAUAUGAUUAUAGCUCUAAAAUAUGUACAUAUCGCCCGUCACUCCCACUUUAAGGUGGGAUAAGUCGUAACAAAGUAGGCUUACUGGAAAGUGUGCCUAGAAUGAUCAAAUUAGAGCUUGUUAUAAAGUUUUUUAUUUACAUUAAAAAGUUAGUUGUGAAAAUCAAUUUAAUUUGAAGAUGAGAAAUUUAUUGUUUUAUAUGAAAAUAAGAUAUUAUUUAUUUUUAGUAUUAUUAUAGAAUAGAAAGUUUAAAAUUAUAGUUGAUUAGUAUAGUGUUAGGAUAUUGAAAUAUUUGAAAUAGUUAGUUUGUUAAAAGAAGAAUUUGGUUUUUGUACCUUGUGUAUCAGGGUUUAUUAAAAAUAGUUUAAUUAUUUAGUGUUCUCGAAUUUUUAAGAGCUAAUAAGUUAUAGAUUUAAUUGUUGAAUAAAUUUUUAAAAUAAAUUAUUAGUAAUGAAACGUUAGUCGUUUAAAAAUAUAUCUAGUUUUUUAAGAAAUAAAUUUAAUUUAGUUAUUUAAAAGUUAUAAUUUUAAGUGUUUAAUUUUAUAUUUUAAAUAUGUAAUGUUUUAAGGGAUAAGCUUUAGAAUAGAUAAUUAAAAAUUAUUAUUGUAGGUAGAGUUAGUAGAAUUAGAAGUGUUUAGUUUUUAGUGUGUUAUAAUUAACUUUUUUUAUUAAUAUGAUUUAUAUUGAUUUUAGUUGUUUUAUUGAAGUAAUUUAUUUAAUAUUGAAAUGUAUGUAAUAAUGAUAGAAUUAGUAUAAUAUUUAUUUUUUUAUUAAUUUGUAGUUUAAAGGUUAAAUUAAGGAACUCGGCAAAUAAAUUUUUCGCCUGUUUAUUAAAAACAUGUCUUUUUGAUUAUAAUUUAAAGUCUGACCUGCCCACUGAGGAUUUAAAUGGCCGCGGUAUUUUGACCGUGCAAAGGUAGCAUAAUAAUUAGUUUUUUAAUUGGAAGCUGGAAUGAAUGGUUGGACGAGAAAAUUACUGUCUCAAUUUAAAUUUAUUAGAACUUUAUUUUUAAGUCAAAAAGCUUAACUGAGUUUAAAAGACGAGAAGACC
rnacentral:rRNA from 1 species